AUUCGUUGUUAAAGUUGAUUGAGGAAUAUGAUCCUAUAUUUUUGGUGUUUAUUUUGGAUGGUCCGGAGUUUUUGGCUGCAACUAUGUUGGACAGAGAUAUGCUUGCUAUUGCUGUAAAUUGGUAUCAUGUCGGUUGGUUUUGCUUGGUAAGAUGACCAAUGUAUAUCUCUAUUUGAGGAAUUCUCCAAAGAUCCAGAGCCGAUUGUUUCAUAGAGCUGUGAAGUUGCGUUACACAUACUGGAUUUUGAACGAUCCGACAAACCAUUCGAGGUACUUGGAAGAUUAAGUCUCUUAUCUAGGUGGUUGUUACAGGUUUAGGAUGUUAAAUGAUUUUGGAUGUACUCUGCGAUGUCGAUGAUGCAGAGAUGUUGGUGAAGCUCAGGUUAACAACUUUAUGUGUAUAUUUUAAUGAAUAAAGUUUUUGUUGUUUAUAUUUUCUAAUUUAAACUUUUAAUUAACUUCUAAAUUUAAUUAAAUGAGUUUGUUUUGCAGGU